GGGCGAGUGGCGGAAUGGUAUACGCGACAGACUUAAAAUCUGUUGUCCCUUACCGGACGUGAGGGUUCGACUCCCUCCUCGCCCACCA
rnacentral:tRNA from 4 species